ensembl:snRNA U6 U6 spliceosomal RNA
GUGCUCGCUUCAGCAGUGCAGAUACUAAAAUUGGAAGGAUACAGAGAAGAUUAGCGUGGCCCCUGCGCAAGGAUGACGUGCAAACAGGAGUACCAGCUGAUG